rnacentral:rRNA from 1 species
CAGCCGCCGCGGGAAUACGAAGGGUGCAAGCGUUAAUCGGAAUUACUGGGCGUAAAGCGUGCGUAGGCGGUUUGUUAAGUCUGCUGUGAAAUCCCCGGGCUCAACCUGGGAAUGGCAGUGGAUACUGGCAAGCUAGAGUGUGUCAGAGGAUGGUGGAAUUCCCGGUGUAGCGGUGAAAUGCGUAGAGGUCGGGAGGAACAUCAGUGGCGAAGGCGGCCAUCUGGGACAACACUGACGCUGAGGCACGAAAGCGUGGGGAGCAAACAGGAUUAGAGACCCCUGUAGUCCCUGUCUCUUAUAC